GUCCUGAUGGCUCAGUGGUCAGAGCAUCUGCCUAGUAAGCUGGAGACUCGGGUUCGAAUCCCGUUACGACA